ACGGUUAUAAAUCAACAUAUUGAUUUAUAAGCAUGGAAAUCCCCUGAGUGAAACAACGAAUUGCUGUGUGUAGUCUUUGCCCAUCUCUCACGAUGGGCUUUUUUUUAA
rnacentral:other from 1 species